CUGAAUGAGUUGGCAAAACCCGGCAUCACAGGAUCAUACACCGGUAUUUCGGCUCAUGUCGAGUCGGAGUGACUGUCAGGCGUCCGAAAACUCACCCCACUCAAACAGCCUUCCUGUCCAGCGCUGACCUGCAUACUCACUGCUCAUAACAGAUGAUGCUGCCGGAGUCCAUUGCCAUCGUCUGCUCUCCCAAAUUCAACGAGUAAGUCCAGUCAUGAGAAAGAUGUGUGGCACAAGUGAGAUGCAAUGGACACUUAAAGGGGUAGUUCACCCAAAAAUCAACAUUCUGUCAUUAAUUACUCAUCCUCAUGUCGUUCCAAACCCGUAAGACCUUCGUUCAUCUUCAGAACACAAAUGAAGAUAUUUUUGAUGAAAUCUGAGAGCUUUCUGACCGUAUAUAUACACACAGUUGAACUAUAGUUUGUUGGAUCAGAAUUGGAUCUGAACGAACAUUGUCAUACGUCCGCUGGCCUUCCUUCCAGAAAUUUCUCAGUUUCACCAGGUAUUGAAAGUGAGAAUUAUUUUUUUUAUUUUUAAGCUUUUGGCGCGUCAAUCCUACGCGGACCGCAAGCGCUGUGAUUGGUCUGCUAGAACCCCUUCCUCCGUAUGUACUUGAGUUCGGUGUGUGUUUAUAAUGUGCACUUUAAUAUAUUUUAAUGUUACACCUUCUUAUAUAAAAUAAAACAAAGCAAAGAACAAGUGUCUUAUAAUUUAUUAUACUUCAUAACAUAAUAAAUCAGUAGUUAAAUGUGACAAACGACGUUGGUCUGCCGUGGUACAAGUCCUUGUGGAGAUUGAAAGAAUGCCAUAUCCUCUCCUAUUCCGUUGAUGUCUCCUUUUUGUAGUUUUAAAUAACGAUUUAAUGAUUUGAUAUUUAUUUGCCGCCAUCACGGCUAUAAGGCUUCUCCAACAAGCCGCUCCAUCUUUGGCUUUUGUCGUGGUACUGCAGUUACACCAGCAACAUGCCCGUGGACACUGUAGACUAGCGGUCUGCAUGUGUACUGCACGCCGACGCAGCCAACGACGCAGAAGUAUGAAUGAAAACUGAUGCAUAGCCUACGAUGUAAAGGCUGCGGCAUAGGUCUGACGCAGAAGUAUAAAUCAGCCUUAACACUCGUUGUUUCAUGUUCCGUGUCAAAAAUCUGACCACAAUGGACCUUAGUUGUGAUUUCAUUGGGGAUUUUUGUUGAUAAAGUACGAUACGCUUGUACUGUUGUCAGGUGUUCAGUGAUACUGCAGGCCUCUUUCAAAAGCCUUUCCACAAAUCCCAUGAAGUCGGUUCCUUCUCUUAUCCAGUAGAUCUGUAUAUUAUUUUACCAAGAUUUAUUUUCUAGAUAAUCAGUACUUUAGCGCAGCAAUUUGUUUUGUUGUAUAAGAAAGCUUACAGCUUGCGCUGAGAGCUGCUGUUUUUCUUCCACCUCAACAAAUCGCAAAUCUCUA
rnacentral:lncRNA from 1 species